GCCUCGUUGGUCUAUCUAGUGGCUUGAUAUAAGGCCGCAGACCCGGAGGUCCUGGGUUCAAUUCCCAGGUUGGGCCAAUAAAAAAUUAUUGGGUUUUUCUGUCAGAAAUUCUCAGUAGCAGCCCGGAAUAUGGAAGUUGGAAG